UCCUCUUCCUACGCAGAAAACUUAAACCUUCUUCCUCAUCCAAACCUACAGUGUCACAGUCAACAACACUGUCGGCCAUAACGCCACAACACCGCCGUCCAUCAUCACCAUUCACCACCGCCGUCCAACAUCACCACCGCCGUCCAUCAACAGGAAAAUGGCAUCAUCUGAAACACCAUCAUCACAACCACCAUCACAAUAAGCCUCUUCAGCUUAAAGUCUAGUUCAAACUAAUGUUAGAGGAAAGACUGAUAUAGCUUAAGAAUAUGUGAUACUUCUUGAUUUGUUAAGAAUGUAUAUUAUUGUUUGAUUCCUUAAUGAUUUAUAGGACUAGGAAGAAACAAAAUUAUGAUCCUAUCAAUUUUGAAACACUUGGUGAUCAUUUUAAUUGAGUGUUGGAGGAUUCACCACCAUUCUUGACCAUUGAAGAGGUGAAAGCACUACGCAAAGAUCUUGCUAGUAUGACAAUCCAACCUAUUUCAAAUGAUAUUGAUGAAUUAAAUUUGGACGAGCUUGACAUUGAGGGGGAUGCACAACUCAAUUCUGGAGAAAAUAACCAGAGUAAUGAUAUCAUUGAUGGGGGAGAUGUUGCAAAUGCGAUUGAUUUUGCCGCGGAUGGUUUUGAUAUUGAAGGAGAUCCCAUUAUUGAAAUAAUUUUACCUCCUUGGAACUAAAUUUAAUAGAUAUUGGAGUAUUUUUGUUCUAAAGUACUCAAUCAGAUUAUGUUGCGAUUAGACUUUGUUUGCAAUUAAACUUUGUAAUUUGUACUACUUUGUUAUGUGUAAUACUUAUGUUUAAAUUUGAACUGAAUUUGUGAUUUUUAAGUGCUGAGUAAACUAUGCCUUAAACCAUAUGGAUUAUUAGUAUUUUCAGCACCUAAUGCACAACUUUUGAAUUUGUGAUUUUUAAGAGCCAUAUUUAUAGAUUAUGUUGUUAAUGGAUCAGCUUUUAAGUGCUAGUUAAAUUUUUUUUUUAG